rnacentral:rRNA from 1 species
GAUGAACGCUGGCUACAGGCUUAACACAUGCAAGUCGAGGGGAAACGGCAUUGAGUGCUUGCACUGAAUGGACGUCGACCGGCGCACGGGUGAGUAACGCGUAUCCAACCUUCCCGUUACUGCGGGAUAACCUGCCGAAAGGCAGACUAAUACCGCAUGUUCUUCGAUGACGGCAUCAGAUUCGAAGCAAAGAUCCGUCGGUAACGGAGGGGGAUGCGUCUGAUUAGCUAGUUGGCGGGGCGACGGCCCACCAAGGCGACGAUCAGUAGGGGUUCUGAGAGGAAGGUCCCCCACAUUGGAACUGAGACACGGUCCAAACUCCUACGGGAGGCAGCAGUGAGGAAUAUUGGUCAAGGGGCGGAAGCCUGAACCAGCCAAGUAGCGUGCAGGAUGACGGCCCUACGGGUUGUAAACUGCUUUUAUGCGGGGAUAAAGUGAGGGACGCGUCCCUUUUUGCAGGUACCGCAUGAAUAAGGACCGGCUAAUUCCGUG